rnacentral:rRNA from 1 species
UAGGGAAUCUUCCGCAAUGGGCGAAAGCCUGACGGAGCAACGCCGCGUGAGUGAUGAAGGUCUUCGGAUCGUAAAACCCUGUUAUUAGGGAAGAACAAAUGUGUAAGUAACUAUGCACGUCUUGACGGUACCUAAUCAGAAAGCCACGGCUAACUACGUGCCAGCAGCCGCGGUAAUACGCAGGUGGAAAGCGUUAUCCGGAAAUAUUGGGCGUAAAGCGCGCGUAGGCGGUUUUUUAAGUCUGAUGUGAAAGCCCACGGCUCAACCGUGAAAGGUCAUUGGAAACUGGAAAACUUGAGUGCAGGAUGGGAAAGUGGAAUUCCAUGUGUAGCGGUGAAAUGCGGAGAGAUAUGGAGGAACACCAGUGGCGAAGGCGACUUUCUGGUCUGUAACUGACGCUGAUGUGCGAAAGCGGGGGGGUGAAACAGG